rnacentral:rRNA from 1 species
AUUGAACGCUGGCGGCAUGCCUUACACAUGCAAGUCGAACGGCAGCACGGGUGCUUGCACCUGGUGGCGAGUGGCGAACGGGUGAGUCAUACAUCGGAACAUGUCCUGUAGUGGGGGAUAGCCCGGCGAAAGCCGGAUUACUACCGCAUACUAUCUACGGAUGAAAGCGGGGGCCCUUCGGGCCUCGCGCUAUAGGGUUGGCCGAUGGCUGAUUAGCUAGUUGGUGGGGUAAAGGCCUACCAAGGCGACGAUCAGUAGCUGGUCUGAGAGGACGACCAGCCACACUGGGACUGAGACACGGCCCAGACUCCUACGGGAGGCAGCAGUGGGGAAUUUUGGACAAUGGGCGAAAGCCUGAUCCAGCAAUGCCGCGUGUGUGAAGAAGGCCUUCGGGUUGUAAAGCACUUUUGUCCGGAAAGAAAACCUUGGCCCUAAUACGGUCGGGGGAUGACGGUACCGGAAGAAUAAGCACCGGCUAACUACGUG